GAGAGAGAGAGAGAGAGAGAUUCGUUUAGGAGGAGUAACUAGGAAAAGUCGAGGCUCAUGGGCGUGACAAUUGGCCGGAUGUGUUUUCCAUUGUCCAAGUUUUGCGGCCUGUCCUGUGGCAUGCUUUUCUUUUUAUACCGAACCUUCGAUCGAUUUCGUAGGAAACGGCUGGAAAACUUGGACAUUGUUAGAUACGACGUUAAAGGGACUUGUCGGUUUGCUAAAUACCUAGCGAUAACUUUUCUUUGUUGAAAGUGUCUGAAAAGAUACACGCACGUACACGCACCGAAGCUUUAGAGGAUCAUGAGACAAUAGGAACAGACACAACGAUGAGCUUCCAUGCAAGCUAUUACCUCACUUCCGCUAACACAAAUCUGCACUUUAGCGGCGUAAAGCUGACACGAUGUUUUUAGCUGAAUCUCCGCCUACCAGAGAACGACUUAUUCAACCCUCUGAUAUAAGCACGAUAUCGUGAUCGUAUCGUUAGUGUAUGAUACAGUUCCAAUUGAUCUACCCUCGAAUUUUUUGAUUAGAUCAUGAUCUUUAUGAUAUAUGUUAGUCAUGAUAAUUAUGUUGAUUUGUUAUAGUGGCAAACUUUGCAAUCGACUUUGAUCAAAACAUUUGUUUUGUUCAUUUCUAAUUUCUGAUUAAAAAUAAUGCGUUAAAUUGA